CCUACGGGAGGCUGCAGUGAGGUAUAUUGGUCAAUGGACGAGAGUCUGAACCAGCCAAGUAGCGUGAAGGAUGACUGCCCUAUGGGUUGUAAACUUCUUUUAUAUGGGAAUAAAAUGUUCCACGUGUGGGAUUUUGUAUGUACCAUAUGAAUAAGGAUCGGCUAACUCCGUGCCAGCAGCCGCGGUAAUACGGAGGAUCCGAGCGUUAUCCGGAUUUAUUGGGUUUAAGGGGAGCGUAGGUGGAUUGUUAAGUCAGUUGUGAAAGUUUGCGGCUCAACCGUAAAAUUGCAGUUGAAACUGGCAGUCUUGAGUACAGUAGAGGUGGGCGGAAUUCGUGGUGUAGCGGUGAAAUGCUUAGAUAUCACGAAGAACUCCGAUUGCGAAGGCAGUUCACUGGACUGCAACUGACACUGAGGCUCGAAAGUGUGGGUAUCAAACAGGAUUAGAUACCCCUGUAGUC
rnacentral:rRNA from 1 species